AGCAGCCGCGGUAAUUCCAGCUCCAAUAGCGUAUAUUAAAGUUGUUGCAGUUAAAAAGCUCGUAGUUGAAUUUCGGGAUCAGCGCGUCGGUCGUGCCUCCGGUAUGCACUGGCGCCGCUGGUUUCUCCCUUCUGAGGAACCGUGAUGUCAUUAAUUUGGUGUUGCGGGAAAUCAGGACUGUUACUUUGAAAAAUUAGAGUGUUUAAAGCGGGCACGCGCUUGAAUACAUUAGCAUGGAAUAACGAAAUAGGACGUUCGAUCUUAUUUUGUUGGUUUCUAGGAUUGACGUAAUGAUUAAUAGGGAUAGUUGGGGGCAUUAGUAUUCAAUUGUCAGAGGUGAAAUUCUUGGAUUUAUUGAAGACUAACUACUGCGAAAGCAUUUGCCAAGGAUGUUUUCAUUAAUCAAGAACGAAAGUUAGGGGAUCGAAGACGAUCAGAUACCGUCGUAGUCUUAACCAUAAACUAUGCCGACUAGGGAUCGGAUGAUGUUAAUUUUAUAAUGA
rnacentral:rRNA from 1 species